CAAAGCAGUGCAUCAGAGCUCUGCAUUCAGCCUUCUUCGAGAAUAGCUCUCUGCCAGAAGUAGAGAGCUUCCCACCCUGUGUCUAAGCUGCGGACGCAAGCUUCUUCACCAGAGAGGUCAAUUUGCAUGUGGCAACCAGCGCCCUUGAAGAAUAAACCGCUUCUUCCCCCGCCGUCCAACCCGGCGCAUAGAGAGAGGAGGCCUAUCAUCAGAUCCACAUUACUACUACACUGCUACAGCUGCAAGCAGUGACAUGCUUUCCGAAAUCCUCAGUAAAUAUUCCAUUCAAAAUGGCAAGAGACAGCAUGCAAUGUGCCACCGCUUAGGCAUGACAUCGAGCGGCCUUCGUGGCGCCAUUUCGUUAAGUCUCCAUGACGUUGGCGCCUCCCGAGGUCUCCGUGCCCGAGGUUACUAUAUCUUCUCUAGCCACCGUCGCAGCGACCAGAGAGGAUUCGGCGCUUGCAUCCCCGCUCCGGCGUUGAGGUGAAGAACGGUAAAAUGUCACGUAUCCAGCUAUGGCUAUUGUUGUUACUUGUGCUGUUAUCUUGUAUAGCAGACAGUGUAUCAACAAUGAAUCAGCAAAAAGAUCGGUCGAUCAAAUCUGCAGUCUUCCUGUCUCCUCCUUUCUUUCUACAUCCUGGGUCUGUGGCAAAUAAAUUUUACUUUAACAUCCCGUUUCCGAAAGGCCAUAUCGCUCUCAAGAGCUUUGAUGCUGAGGUGAUUGAUGAGAAUGGCAUUCCUGUCCCCCUUCAUGAAACUUAUCUUCAUCACUGGGUCAUAGAAAGAUACUAUGGUAGAAAGGAAAGCCUUGCUGAUGGAAAUUCAGAGUUGAAAGCGUUCAACCAUUCCAAUUUCAUAUGGAUGAGAAAUGCUGGAAUCUGUAAGGGUACUCUGGGGCAGUACUAUGGUCUUGGUUCAGAAACCCGCAGAACUUCCACAUGGGUCCCCGAUCCCUAUGGCAUAGAAGUCGGGAACCCUGAGAAAAUUCCAGAUGGUUACAAGGAGAAAUGGCUAUUAAAUGUCCAUGCAAUCGAUACACGAGGUGUGGAGGAUCGUUUCGGGUGCACAGAGUGCAAGUGCAGUCUGUACAAUGUGACCAUGGAUGAGUUUGGUCGGGCUCUGCCGAAAGAUUAUGAUGGAGGAUUGCAUUGUUGCUAUGACCAGACACAAUGUCAAGUAAGGGCAGGCAUUCAAAAUGUCUCCAGGAUUCUGUAUCUUAAAUACACAGUCAAGUGGCUCAACUGGGUUGAAAACAUUAUACCUGUCAAGAUCUAUAUCUUCGAUGUAACUUAUUCAGUUGAUCCAAGUAAAGAAAAUCCUUUGAAUCUGAGUUGUAAGGUGGAGUACGAAAUCAAGUCUUGCAAAGAUAAUGGUGGAUGCGUGGAUACUAAAAGAACACAGUUGGUUAUUCCCACAGGGGGUGAUAUUGUGUAUGGUGUUGCACACCAGCACUCAGCCGGUCUAGGUGCUACUCUCUAUGGUCAGGACGGGCGGGUCUUGUGCACUUCUAAUCCGACAUAUGGAGAUGGGGAAGAAGCAGGGAAUGAAGCUGGCUACAUCGUGGGAAUGUCUACUUGUUACCCUAAGCCAGGCUCAGUCCAAGUCGUGGAUGGAGAGAUGUUGACUCUGGAGUCCAAUUACAGCAGCAACCAAGCCCAUACAGGAGUGAUGGGGCUUUUCUACGUAUUGGUAGCUGAAGCUGUACCAAAGAGCAAGACCAUGCUAUUUCUCAGCUUUCCUGGUUCUUUGGAUCUGGGGCUCACAAAGCACACUUGGUCCUUCGUCCUCGCCGGUGGUAUGCUAACAGCCAUCUUCGGAAUCAGCUACUUGUGUAAAAGAGGCCGCAGGAAACCAUAUCAACCGCUGGUGCUGACUUAGUACAAUAGUGGUCAAAAUACUGCUUUCCAACUCGCUUAUUACUUUACUGUACAUGGAACUCUCUCCACAGUACGUGUCUUAGCUCUGGUAGAAAUGAGACAAUGUUCUUUUGUGGUUGUAGAAGAAACAAUGGUUGGAAUAUCUUGUACACAGAUUGAAGAUGAGCUCUGAUAAGAGCAAAUUACACUGCGAGCCUUCUGCUCUGUUCUGUGACAUGAACUGAUCCCAAAACUGAAAGAGCUCAUCUCUGUCUCUGUUUGUGAACUAAACUGAGCGAGAAGACUUCAGUGGAGAUUGAUGUCCUCUAACCACGCAA